CUUUCAGGUGCAGACAUGGGAUCCAGGAAAGGUUGGGCUCAUUCUUGAGGUAGCCAGGCUCCAAGCACCUGAAGUUCUUCUGAGUCAGAGAAGCAACUGCAUUCAUUACAGCUAAUGAAGUUUGCAAAAGGAGGUCAGAGGAGGGCUGUGCCAACAACUGUCCCCAGAGCUCAACAUCAUUUCAUCAUGCUGGUCCUUACCCACAGCUGAGAUCUGCUCAUCCGGCCUCGGCAAAAGACAAUGCAUUUGAGUUCGUGGAGAACAUUCUUGCUAUUGUAUAUUCGGUACAUAUCUACAUGGAUGCGGCCAUCGUCCAAACUCUAGUGAUUCUCACUGCUGGUUUUAAAAUCACUUGGAAGAAGACAUUUAGAAAACAUCAAAGUGUCUACAGCAUUCCAGGGAACGGUUUUCCAUUGGAGCUGAUUUUCUCAUAGUGGAAGUGAUUUAGGAGUUGCAGCUUCUGGCUAUCUCUGAAGCACCCGCUGAUGGAGUUGAAACCACUUAUCCCUGGCUAGAUCAUCUGCCAUCAAAAAAGGGUCUGUUACUGAGCUCAGCUUUGGAGAUGGUGUGAGAGAUACAACAAACAACCAUUUGCUGACACGGAGGGCACCAAAGUGGUUUUUGAUGAUAUGAGAUGAUGAAACUGAGGACGAGAAAAGGCAAGGACACAGGGCCAGAGAAGCAGUGGAAGUGGCAGGAGCAGAUCAUGGCUUCUUCCUAACUACCUGAUUAUCUUUGCACCGAAGCACAUUAUAUCUGGCCAAAUCAACGUUUUGCAAAACAGAGCUGAUAGUGUCCCUGUAUGAAUAUAUAUGCACAUAUCUCUCAAUGUAACUCACUUAUAUAUUCAUGUGUCUUCAUUUCCCAUUCAUCUUUAUAAUCAAUCACCUAUGAUCGGUUCCCGUUAC
rnacentral:lncRNA from 1 species